rnacentral:rRNA from 1 species
AGAGUUUGAUCCUGGCUCAGGACGAACGCUGGCGGCGUGCCUAACACAUGCAAGUCGAACGAAGAGGUAACAGUUUAGUUUACUAAACAGUUACUUACUUAGUGGCGAACGGGUGAGUAACGCGUGGGUAACCUGCCCUUAAGACCGGAAUAACAGCUGGAAACGGCUGCUAAUGCCGGAUACAUUUAUCUUAAGGCAUCUUAAGAUAAAGAAAGCUGGCCUCUGACCCAAGCUAGUGCUUAAGGAUGGACCCGCGUCUGAUUAGCUAGUUGGUGGGGUAACGGCCUACCAAGGCAACGAUCAGUAGCCGGCCUGAGAGGGUGACCGGCCACACUGGGACUGAGACACGGCCCAGACUCCUACGGGAGGCAGCAGUGGGGAAUCUUCCGCAAUGGACGAAAGUCUGACGGAGCGACGCCGCGUGUACGAAGAAGGCCUUCGGGUUGUAAAGUACUGUUGUUGGGGAAGAACGGCUCAAGUGUGAAUAAUGCUUGAGAUUGACGGUACCCAACGAGGAAGCCCCGGCUACUACGUGCCAGCAGCGCGGUAACACGUAGGGGCGAGCGUUGUCGGAUUAUGGCGUAAGGCGCGUAGGCGCGUUAGUCUGAUGUGAAGUGCGGGCUAACCCGUAAGCAUGAACUGAUGGCUGAG